GUAAAUAAAUGUGUGAUAAAAUAAAAUAUACCGAAAUAUACAAGUGCUAAUGAAAUAUAAUCGGUGACACUUAAGUUAACGCCCCGAUGAAAAGGGUGUAAAUAGAAAACACAUGUGAAAUUCAAUAUGGAAAAUGGUUUAGUUCGCCGCACUUACAAUGUAUGUAUGUAUGCGAGCGGAAUGGAAAACUUUCUAAACGGAAGUCGCAUAUAAAGCUAAUAUUUGGUUGAAUUAGUUCAUUCAUGUUUGCUAUUGUACUCAUGCAUAGUGCAGUAAAUGUAUUUUUAACGAUUGUUUCACGUGCUAAAAAUAACAAUUAUUGGUUUUGCCGUGCAAUGCAACGUGCGUGCGUGUGUGUGUGUGUCUGUGAGUAUAUGAAAAUAUUCUAUAUGCGCUAUGUGCGUUGAUAAGAGUUGCACAAUUGGAGCCGAUUUGCUGGCGACCUCCGGUAUGACCCGGCGCCAUUGCCCCGUCUGUUGAUUAAUCGGCGGGCAAUCAGUGAGUACGUGAGGCGCCUAGGUGCAUUGAGAUUUGCCUUUGGACGAGCGACAGCUGAUCAGCAGAGCACCUCAAGUCAGUUGGGAGCAGCAAGCAGCGCAACACACGAUUCACGUGUUCCACUGAACAAGGCAGGAAAACGAAAACAACAUAAACCAGAAGCCAAACAGCAAAUGUUACAAAACAUCAUUAAAAAAUGUAAUCUUCAAAUACCCUGUAUUGAUCGCACUGAGGGUGCGAUAUGAUGUGUUAUUCAUAUCAACCAAACAUUCUUAAUAGCUCUGGUUAAGAUUGUCAUUGGAUAAGAAGUAAUCUGGACCAUCUACGCAACAUCAGAGGAGAAAGCGAUCGCAUGCUAUAUAUAGAUGUUAUCCAAGAAAGAUCACUUUUAGCUGACAUACAGGGAAGUUCUCAACAAGUCACCGAAGCUGAAAUACACUUACAAUAAAAAUACAACAAGCCUGCAAAAGCAUACUUGAUUAAUAAAUAUUGAUCCUGAUUGAAUGAUGGAAAGCUUACGAAAACUUAAAUGACCAUGCGGCGAGCGGACAGAGACCAGCUGAGAGAUGGGAGCUAUAGAGGCCAAGCAAACUAUUAUUAUUAUGAGCUCAAGUUUUGAAGUUCGUUUGGCAGCUGCUCAAUCAAAUCAAAUAUUUGGGGUAACUAAACACAAACCUUUUUGACAUUCACCCCCUCUUGCCGUUACCAUUGUCGUCAUCGUGUCGAAGAUGUAUAUAUUUUCAAAGUGCGCAAAAAUCAAACUCAAUUACGUGCGCUGUCAAUCAGCGGCAGGAAUCGAAUUGGGAAUCGGUCAAAGACAUGCGUAAGAGUAUGUCAGUGCGCAAGUUGCGUGGCCACUGGUCACUGGCGUAUGUAUCUUAAAGAUACAUUUCGCUUAAGUGUAGAGCAUACAUCAUCCAUUCAACUAAGUCCACAUAUGUACAUUUAUAGAUUCAUUGCACGCGUAAGACAGCAGACAGAUAUUUUAGAAUCAUUCCCAGAUGGCGAUGUGCGUUGACCCUGAGACAAACGCCCACGCAAUGCGCAAAUAUAAACUAAUGUAUAUAUACAAUAUAUGUUUGUAUGUAUAAAGAAAGAGAGAAGGAAACUGUGUAUGUCUGUGUGCGUGUGUGGAGAGCUAGACCAUAGGGCAUGCAAAUUAGAGGCACCGACUUGCAAAUAUAUUCUUAUAAAUAUCAAGAUGGCAAAGACUUCAAAUAAAACACUUGAGGAAUCGACUUUGAUAUACACCAUUAUACGAAACGAUCCACUAGAUGCUGUCUUAUCAGAAUCCAUUGAUGAGUUAAUUACGACCAAUGUCUGCCUAGCACAAAAUUCACAUUAAAGUAAUGUACCCUCAGUACCCCAUGGAUUUUCAUAUUGUUCAUAUAAAAUUGCAAUAUAAAAUAAUAUGUGUGUUAAAUGUGAGUGAUUGCUAAAUACUCUUUCCUGCAGAUCGACAAGGUUUGUCAAUGCUUUGAACUGUCCGGCUACUGCAGAAAGAAACUAUUCUAUGCUGGACGAGAAUACGCAUUUAUAAAAUAAAAUGAUUGCAAGUUUUAGUUCAAAUUGGAUUUGGAGACUUAGUUUAGAAGUUAUAUUUAGAUGCCAAUAUAAAGAGAGGCAAUAUUAAUGAACUUAUUCCAUCCAAGAGGCUUGAGGUGUGAGGAGGUGUGAGGCACCUCUCAAAGAUCCUUGAAGUGAUCUCGAUGCUGGUCGGACGGUAAGCAAAAUAUUUUCAUAUAUAUAUCAAAAAGCUAGCUUUAUAGUAUAAAAAGGGGCAGAAACUAUAAUCAAAACGCUCCAUCGAAAUAGAGUCGAAGGAAGAUUUUCGAAUUAAAUGUGUUUUAGUUCAAUUAAAUGUCACACUAAACUAGAUCAUAUACUCAACAUAUUCAAACCUAUUAAUACUUAACAUCAGCACAUCUGAACAGUGUAAGUAUUAAGGUAAAGUUGUAAGUAGCAGUAAACAGUAUAGUAGUAUUGGACCAUUGUUCUACAGUUGUAACUCAGUCUACCUUUCAUUUGUAAUACAUUCACAAUCGAUCACUGACAAGUCUUUUUAUGCAUAAUCAACUAUGUCAUCGGUUGUUGCCUUUGUACAUUCUUAUAAUAAGUUAAAUAGCUCUGUUGGAAAUUAAACAGCUAACUAUGCAGUUGUGCCUUUUCUGGAAAAUAACCGCCUCUUUUGUCAAAGACUCUACAAUCACCUCUAAGCCGGACCUGGCAGUUAAUAUUUAUAUUUAGCUAGUUAAGCUAUACAAAUUAUAGCGCGAAUUGCGAUUAGACGCUUAGCUAGGGAGUUAUUGAUCAUAUACAAAUGUAUAUGUUGAAUUUUUGAAAAUUUAAAUAACAAUUUAAAAAGGGGCGCAAACUGUAAUGAGACAAGUCAAAAUUAAAAUCAGAGAAACAUCACGGACUAAAAUAAAUUUUAGUUGUAUUACAAAUAUCAGUCUAGCUUUGAUGCUCGACCUAGGCUAGUUUUUAACAAAUGUAUGGAUAUCUCCAAGUCUAUCAAUUGCUAGAGAACAUUUUCCUGUUUUUGUUGUGCUUGCGACUGCAUGUUUAUAAAUCAUUAUGACAAUUUGCUGGCGCUACCGUAGCUAGAGACUGUGCCCCUUGCGACUGGCUAACCCCGCUUGCAUUAUGCAAGAAACUGGCGAAGAGCUCACAAUAUAAUUAAAAUGCGCGUCAAAUGCUUAAAGUCGAUAGUUCAAGGCAGCUGAAGGUGUAAACCUCAGCUGUUUUUGGUUUCUUUAGGCGGAAUUCACGCCGAAGAGGCAGAGUAUGGCAGCUGCAGCCAACAGCUGUGCCUAUCGUCAAUGAUGAUCAAUUGAAGCCACAGCUAAGUGGCAAGUGGCAAGUGGCAAGUGGCAAGGUGUGUGUAUGUGUGUUGGUGUGUGUUAAAGUUGUCGGCUUAUCGAGUACCAUAUGCAAUUCUAUGGAAUAAGCCCAUUUCACAUACCAUAAACAAGAGCUUAAACUUAAGCAAUCAGACAUAAGCCGCUCACAUCAGUUUCUGCUUGGCCGUCUGCAAUUGGAGAGCUGCUCCGUUCACAGCCAAAAUCGCAUUCGCGAACUCUUGCUGCUGACAAAGCGCAGAAUCGACACAUAUGCAACAACAACAACAUUUUCGGCUGGCUCUUUUAUUUCUAAUAUGUCUUGGCAUUAAAUGCAUAUUCAUAAAUUUGUUAA